UACAGAGGUCUCAAGCGUUGUUCGGAUUCAUUGGGCGUAAAGGGUGCGUAGGCGGCGCGGUAAGUCGGGUGUGAAAUCUUGGAGCUUAACUCCGAAACUGCAUUCGAUACUGCCGUGCUUGAGGACUGGAGAGGAGACUGGAAUUUACGGUGUAGCGGUGAAAUUCGUAGAUAUUCGCAAGAACACCGGUGGCGAAGGCGGCUUCCUGGACCGACACUGACGCUGAGGCGCGAAAGCUAGGGGAGCAAACGGG
rnacentral:rRNA from 1 species